UAUUUAAGGGAACAAAGUUAAGUGAGU
rnacentral:piRNA from 1 species